GUGUCAGCAGCCGCGGUAAUACAGAGGGUGCGAGCGUUAAUCGGAAUUACUGGGCGUAAAGCGCACGUAGGCGGCUUCGUAAGUCGGAUGUGAAAUCCCCGGGCUCAACCUGGGAACUGCAUUCGAGACUGCGGAGCUCGAGUAUGGAAGAGGAAGGCGGAAUUCCAGGUGUAGCGGUGAAAUGCGUAGAUAUCUGGAGGAACAUCAGUGGCGAAGGCGGCCUUCUGGUCCAAUACUGACGCUCAGGUGCGAAAGCGUGGGGAGCAAACAGGAUUAGAAACCCCCGUAGUCC
rnacentral:rRNA from 1 species